GUAACCUGCCCAUAAGACUGGGAUAACUCCGGGAAACCGGGGCUAAUACCGGAUAACAUUUUGAACCGCAUGGUUCGAAAUUGAAAGGCGGCUUCGGCUGUCACUUAUGGAUGGACCCGCGUCGCAUUAGCUAGUUGGUGAGGUAACGGCUCACCAAGGCAACGAUGCGUAGCCGACCUGAGAGGGUGAUCGGCCACACUGGGACUGAGACACGGCCCAGACUCCUACGGGAGGCAGCAGUAGGGAAUCUUCCGCAAUGGACGAAAGUCUGACGGAGCAACGCCGCGUGAGUGAUGAAGGCUUUCGGGUCGUAAAACUCUGUUGUUAGGGAAGAACAAGUGCUAGUUGAAUAAGCUGGCACCUUGACGGUACCUAACCAGAAAGCCACGGCUAACUACGUGCCAGCAGCCGCGGUAAUACGUAGGUGGCAAGCGUUAUCCGGAAUUAUUGGGCGUAAAGCGCGCGCAGGUGGUUUCUUAAGUCUGAUGUGAAAAGCCCACGGCUCAACCGUGGAGGGUCAUUGGAAACUGGGGAGACUUGAGUGCAGAAGAGGAAAGUGGGAAUUCCAUGUGUAGCGGUGAAAUGCGUAGAGAUAUGGAGGAACACCAGUGGGCGAAAGGCGACUUUCUGGUCUGUAACUGACACUGAGCGCGAAAGCGUGGGGAGCAAACAGGAUU
rnacentral:rRNA from 1 species